rnacentral:rRNA from 1 species
CACUCCUCCGGGAGGCAGCAGUGGGGAAUAUUGGACAAUGGGCGCAAGCCUGAUCCAGCCAUGCCGCGUGAGUGAUGAAGGCCCUAGGGUUGUAAAGCUCUUUCACCGGUGAAGAUAAUGACGGUAACCGGAGAAGCAGCCCCGGCUAACUUCGUGCCAGCAGCCGCGGUAAUACGAAGGGGGCUAGCGUUGUUCGGCUUUACUGGGCGUAAAGCGCACGUAGGCGGACUAUUAAGUCAGGGGUGAAAUCCCGGGGCUCAACCCCGGAACUGCCUUUGAUACUGGUAGUCUUGAGUUCGAGAGAGGUGAGUGGAAUUCCGAGUGUAGAGGUGAAAUUCGUAGAUAUUCGGAGGAACACCAGUGGCGAAGGCGGCUCACUGGCUCGAUACUGACGCUGAGGUGCGAAAGCGUGGGGAGCAAACAGGAUUAGAAACCCCGGUAGUCCCAUG